ACUGUCUUUAUAUAAAUAUUAUUUUAAUUUAAUUUUUAAGUUAAAAAGCUUAAAUAAAUUUAAAGGACGAGAAGACCCUAUAGAGUUUUAUAUAUAAAAUUUGUUUGAGAAAUUUAAAAUUAUUUUUAAAAUUUAUUUAUUUAUUUUAUUGGGGCGAUAGAAAAAUUAAUUAAACUUUUUUAUAAUAAUAACAUAGAUAAGUGGAAUUUUGAUCCUUUUUUU
rnacentral:rRNA from 1 species